rnacentral:rRNA from 1 species
GACGAACGCUGGCGGCGUGCUUAACACAUGCAAGUCGAACGAAGUGGCGAACGGGUGAGUAACGCGUAAUCAACCUGCCCUUCAGAGGGGGACAACAGUUGGAAACGACUGCUAAUACCCCAUAAUGAAGGAGGGGAUUGCGUUUGAUUAGCUAGUUGGGGGGGUAACGGCCCACCAAGGCGAGGAUCAGGAGCCCGGCUGGGAGGAUGAACGGCCACAUUGGGACUGGAACACGGCCCAGACCCCUACGGGGGGCAGCAGUGGGGAAUCUUCCGAAAUGGAGGAAAGUCUGACGGAGCAACGCCGCGUGAGUGAUGACGGCCUUCGGGGUGUAAAGCUCUGUUAAUCGGGACGCGGUACCGGAAUAGAAAGCCACGGCUAACUACGUGCCAGCAGCCGCGGUAAUAC